CAAAGGCAGACACUGCCGACCCGCUCUAGCUAGGAAGUUUCGGUACUCGGGCGGCUGGGUGGAGCACGCGUCCAGGAAAGACGUCUGCCACCGUACAGAGACAGAGAUCCUCCUCUUCCUAAACUUCCUGACGACACAGACUUCUCUUGUUGAUGGAAAGGGUCUGACCCUCAGCAGGAGAUGCUCAGAAAAGUUUGUUGGGUAUCACUUUGGAAUCCAUUGAGGCUGAGCAUGCUUUUAAGAGUUGAUCUGAUACCAUCCUGUCCUAGAGGAGUGUUUGUUUCAAAACCGGAAGUCCCAGACCCCUGAAUCCAAACUGUACCUGCUGCCUCUGCCAUCGUGCUUUCGUGUGAGUGGGUUUGAUCAGGAUACUCGGGGAUGGAAGGUGUAGACGUGGGAAUGCAGGACGAGAUUAUCCUGAGCCAGACCGUGUGGCCAGGUUUUGGUGGCCGUGGGCUAGGAGUUGGAAGAAGAUAAGAGAACAAACUAAUGGAGCCCCACGCCCAAGCUACAUGGCUCCUUCGUGGACACCUGAGACAGGUCAUGCUAUAUAGAGGAAAGAACAUUGGCUUAAGGGCUAGGGUUGGUUCUGCCAUUUCCUAGCCAGGUAAUUUUGGCCAGAUGAACUUGUGAGCAUCAGUUAACUUCUGUGUGAAAUGACAGUAAUGAAUACCUACUGUUCGAUAGAUAAGAGAUGACAUGUAUAAAGCCACAGGUAUAUGACACACAAGCAAAAAACUGCUCAUGUGUAUGUACAUACGUAUGUGUAUGUACCUAUGUACACGUAUGUAUGUGGGGUGUGUGUGUGUUGGGUUCCCAAAGAAAAGGCAAGGCUUUAUAAUAUAAAACCUUGCUCAAAACAAAACAAAACAAAACAAAACAGUAACACUCUCUGUAACCCAAAUUUCUCCCGUAAGAGUGAUGUGAGUUUGGGUGUAGCACUAUCCAUCUUUCCUUCCUUCUUCACUCGAACAUUUUGGAAACAAGCUGAAAGGAAAUAGAGUACCUUUAGCUCAUCCCCCACCUCUCAG